rnacentral:piRNA from 1 species
UGAGAAAGGUUAGCCCUGAGAUGGGAUGGU